GGGCGUAUAGCUCAGUGGUAGAGCACAUGCUUGACAUGCACAAGGAAGGUACUGGGUUCAAUCCUCAGUACCUCCA
rnacentral:tRNA from 1 species